AAUCAACGCUGGCGGCGUGCCUCAGACAUGCAAGUCGAACGCGAAAGCCCCCUUCGGGGGGCAAGUAGAGUGGCGCACGGGUGAGUAACACAUAGGUAAUCUACCUUUGGAUGGGGAAUAACAACCGGAAACGGUUGCUAAUACCGCAUAAUGCAGCGGCACCUAAUGGUGACAGUUGUUAAAGCGGGGGAUCGCAAGACCUCGCGUCUGAAGAGGAGCCUGCGGCAGAUUAGCUAGUUGGUAAGGUAAAGGCUUACCAAGGCGAUGAUCUGUAGCCGGCCUGAGAGGGCGGUCGGCCACACUGACACUGACAUACGGGUCAGACUCCUACGGGAGGCAGCAGUCGGGAAUUUUGGGCAAUGGGCGAAAGCCUGACCCAGCAACGCCGCGUGAAGGAUGAAAUCCCUCGGGAUGUAAACUUCGCAAGAACGGGAAGAAUAAGCCGGUGUCAACACCACCGGCGAUGACGGUACUGUUUGUAAGCUCCGGCUAACUCCGUGCCAGCAGCCGCGGUAAUACGGGGGGAGCAAGCGUUGUUCGGAUUUACUGGGCGUAAAGGGCGCGUAGGCGGCCACCGCAAGUCGACUGUGAAAUCUCCGGGCUUAACCCGGAACGGUCAGCCGAUACUGCGGGGGCUAGAGUGCAGAAAGGGCAACUGGAAUUCUCGGUGUAGCGGUGAAAUGCG
rnacentral:rRNA from 1 species